rnacentral:hammerhead_ribozyme from 1 species
CCACUGUUGAGGAGUCCUACAAUAGGACGAAACAAUCUUCCAGUAC